CGCAACCCUGUUGGACGCGAUGAGACAACAAGUAAAAAUCCACCCUGAGAAGGAUAAAGAGAAACACUUUAAAGAGUCAAGUUGUCCACCUGUAAACAAGAGAAAAGCCUGUGGCAGUUCCUUAGGAUGAAUUAAUAUUUGUGCACACAUAAAGGAAUGAAAGGCCACAGAGAAGUCACAGAUGAGAGCCUUGCACCUACAGGCAAGAACUUUGUGUAUGGAAUCCUUGUCUCCAGCAUGUCAACCCCCCGCCCCAAGCAGUUAUAAUACUGCAAUGACCUGACUCACCUGAGAGGGUACUGGAGAUUGCACACAGCACAGCUUUUUAAUGGCUC